ACUAAAUAGAUACCCGGGUAGUCCCAGCCGUAAACGAUGCUCGCUAGGUGUCAGGCAUGGCGCGACCGUGUCUGGUGCCGCAGGGAAGCCGUGAAGCGAGCCACCUGGGAAGUACGGCCGCAAGGCUGAAACUUAAAGGAAUUGGCGGGGGAGCACAACAACGGGUGGAGCCUGCGGUUUAAUUGGACUCAACGCCGGACAACUCACCGGGGGCGACAGCAAUAUGUGGGCCAAGCUGAAGACUUUGCCUGAAUCGCUGAGAGGAGGUGCAUGGCCGUCGCCAGUUCGUACUGUGAAGCAUCCUGUUAAGUCAGGCAACGAGCGAGACCCGUGCCCACUGUUACCAGCAUGUCCUCCGGGACGAUGGGUACUCUGUGGGGACCGCCGAUGUUAAAUCGGAGGAAGGUGCGGGCCACGGUAGGUCAGUAUGCCCCGAAUCUCCCGGGCUACACGCGGGCUACAAUGGAUGGGACAAUGGGUCCCUCCCCUGAAAAGGGCUGGUAAUCUCACAAACCCAUUCGUAGUUCGGAUCGAGGGCUGUAACUC
rnacentral:rRNA from 1 species